UUAGGUUGAGAACAUGGGUUCCUGUAAACUCACUGAAGUUAAGCAACAUUGAGCCUGGACAGUUCCUAGAUGGGUGACCACUUGGGAAUACCAGGUGCUGUAAG